AGAGUUUGAUCCUGGCUCAGGAUGAACGCUGGCGGCGUGCCUAACACAUGCAAGUCGAGCGCGUCUGAUUUGAUGCUUGCAUUAAUGAAAGAUGAGCGGCGGACGGGUGAGUAACGCGUGGGUAACCUGCCCUAUACACAUGGAUAACAUACUGAAAAGUUUACUAAUACAUGAUAAUAUAUAUUUACGGCAUCGUAGAUAUAUCAAAGUGUUAGCGGUAUAGGAUGGACCCGCGUCUGAUUAGCUAGUUGGUGAGAUAACUGCCCACCAAGGCGACGAUCAGUAGCCGACCUGAGAGGGUGAUCGGCCACAUUGGAACUGAGACACGGUCCAAACUCCUACGGGAGGCAGCAGUGGGGAAUAUUGCACAAUGGGCGCAAGCCUGAUGCAGCAACGCCGCGUGAACGAUGAAGGUCUUCGGAUCGUAAAGUUCUGUUGCAGGGGAAGAUAAUGACGGUACCCUGUGAGGAAGCCCCGGCUAACUACGUGCCAGCAGCCGCGGUAAUACGUAGGGGGCUAGCGUUAUCCGGAUUUACUGGGCGUAAAGGGUGCGUAGGUGGUCUUUCAAGUCGGUGGUUAAAGGCUACGGCUCAACCGUAGUUAGCCUCCGAAACUGGAAGACUUGAGUGCAGGAGAGGAAAGUGGAAUUCCCAGUGUAGCGGUGAAAUGCGUAGAUAUUGGGAGGAACACCAGUAGCGAAGGCGGCUUUCUGGACUGCAACUGACACUGAGGCACGAAAGCGUGGGUAGCAAACAGGAUUAGAUACCCUGGUAGUCCACGCUGUAAACGAUGAGUACUAGGUGUCGGGGGUUACCCCCCUCGGUGCCGCAGCUAACGCAUUAAGUACUCCGCCUGGGGAGUACGCACGCAAGUGUGAAACUCAAAGGAAUUGACGGGGACCCGCACAAGUAGCGGAGCAUGUGGUUUAAUU
rnacentral:rRNA from 1 species